ACAGACUUAAUUGGCAGUGUGGCCAGAUGUAGAAUUCUGGGGUCAUAUUUUCCUGCCAGAAGAGUCUGUAAAUGUGGCCCCUUGUGUCCCAGUGUCCUGCAUGCAGCUGUGCCAAUGGCCGAGACAGGCUGCCCUUUUCCUGCUAUAAGAGUAUGUUGCUCUGCUCAAUAAGCCUAACAAAACACCAUAGGCUGAGUGGCUUCAACAACAGACAUUUGUUUUCUCACAGCUCUGGGGGCUUUAGGUCUGAGAUCAAGGUGCCAUCAUGGUUGGUUUAUGGUGAGAUCUCUCUUCCUGGCAUGCAGAUGGCCUCCUUCUCACCAGGUCCUCGUGUGGCUCUUCCUCUGUGUGUGAGUAAGAGAGAGCUCCCUGAUCCCUCUGCCUUUUCCUGCAGAGAUGUUAGUGCUGUCCUGUGACCUCACUGAUCCUGGGUUACCCCUCUAGGGGCUUCAUCUCCAAACACAGUCACCUGAGUGUUGCAGCUUCAGCAUAAGAGAUUUGGGAAACAAAGCUCAGUAUAUAACAAAGGACAGAACCUCCCCUGAAUACACCAGGAAAUAGAGAAUAUCUUGCAGAAAUUAUGUUCAAAUUAUUUAAUGUACCAGGACUGUACAUUGCAGUUCAGGUGGAAGGUUAGGUACUAGGAAGCUGCAUCAAACACAUCCCUGUUGCAGGUAGAGAUAUUAUGUAUUUCAUUCAACAGCUGCCAAGGGAGUGGGAGGUGGGAAUCCCUCCUGAGCAACCACUGGAGUCUGCAAAGGCCAUUAAGGAGAAUUACUGACACAUUUGCCCCAAUAUAGUCAAGGAGUUUGCCAAGUAUGAUGUGGAUCCACAGAAGUGGAUCAAACAGCACACAGGGAACAAUGCCAUCAGCCAGAAGAAGUUCAUUAUCGAUGUUGGCUAGGAAAGGUUCCCAGGCCUUGAAAUUUUCUCUCAGCCAGAGAUAUUGAUUUACAUGCCAAGUAUAAUGCCUGGCCCAGGAAGCCCAGGAGAUGAAUCAAAUAACUUGACCAUGAAGGAGCACUGAGGAGGAGGCAGAGAUAAUCUCUGGCGUGGGUAUUAUAAUAGGUGUACUACAAGGUUCAGAGGCAGUGCAGAGAAAGAAAUGAGGAGCUCUUGAAACUGGUUGGCAGUGGGCAAGGGUUUAGAAUGGUCUUUAAGAAUAGGUACAUUUGAACUGACUCUUAAAAGAUGGGCAGGUGUUUGACAAGGCAAGGUGAACAUCACUGAUAGAGGGGAGUGAAGCCACCUGGAAACCUUCCUCUGUGCACUGCAAACAGUUUGAGAUGGUUGGUGCAUGGCACAUGACUGUGCACAUUGGGUCCAUGUUGUGUGCACAGAUGAUUUAGAAAUGACAGAGGGGAAGAGGUGAAGCUGGAGAGUUGCAGGAGCACACAGAGGAAGACUGUCUUACAUGGCUUUCCAAGGCAUUUGGACAUGAUCUUGUGGCAAAGCAAGUCAUUACAUGAUUAUUAAACUAAGCAGUAGUGGUGUGGAAUUUGCCUUCCACAACAAUUAUUUUCCUGCAGUGUGGAUGACAAAUUUGGGAGGCGGAAGAGGGGAAAGAAUACAAACUGAACUACUGGUUGGAAGACAAUUAGCAGUGGUCCUGGAAAGACUCAAGGCAAUCAAGAGGCUGUGAAGGAAGGGCGUUGAAGGGAGGGACCUUAAGGAUAUGGCCUCUGGACAAACAGAUUACUAUUGCUUAAGGAGUAGUUUAGUGGGAAGCAAAGCAAAGAGAAGCACAUAAUGUGUUCUAAGUAUUUUUGGGUCAUGUAAUUGGGUAAAUGGUAUUGAUAUUUGCAAUAUAUAUAUGGAAUCAAACAAAUUAAUCCCAAGUUUCAGGGAGAAAAAGUAUCUUCAGCACCCUAAUUACAGGUCCUCACUUUUUCUAUGAAGCAGGAAGCAAAGGUGAUUUUAUCCCCAUUUAUGUCCAAAGGGGUAAACAUUUUGCCUACUAUCACAUGCAGCAGGUUGGGAAGUUUAUUCUCUACCAGGCUUAAGAACAGAUAAACAAGGGAGACAAGAACCAUGCUUUCACAGAACUUAUAUUCUUGUGUCUGUGUUGGGGGAACAGAAUAUGAACAAGUCAGCAAGCAAUGAACCCAGGUGUGAAGGACUAUGAUGGUGACAGGCAGUGGUACUUUAUCUAGAUAUUAGGGAAAGUAUCCCUGAGGUCACCCUGGAGCUGACCUUCCAUUGAGAAGGAAGCAGUCAUUCAGAUUCUUAGGGGAAGAAUGUUCUAGGCAGAGAACAACAAUUGAGAAGUCCCUGAGGUCAAAACAAGUUUGCUGCACCCUGAGGGAGGAAUUCCAAAUACAGAGCAAAUGAAGAGCUGGGGAAAUUCCUAGUUCCAAUGGCAUUCCUGGGAAGGUGAAAGUGAAAGGCUUGUGACCCCUUAUGGUAAAUACCUAGCAUAAAUACUCUUGGGGAGGGCUGGGAACCUGCCCAGCAUGCACAACAAUAUGCCUCUAGAAACUGCAUCAUGACUCACAAAUGCUUUUGGAAGACAAGUCCUUGCUCAGUUGCCUAUCUUGGUAACUCAUUUAACUAAAACUCAUUUAGGUUUGCCUAGAGAGAUGAACUUAAAAAUCUUUAGAUUAAUGAAAUUCAUCUUAAAUUUAUCAGUUCAGAACAAGAAACCACCUACAGUCCAAUGGCAGGCAGCUCUGCCCCUGAGGCUCUGUCAUUCCCUAACAUGUUACAUGGGAGCAGAGCCUCCCAGCCAACUUCCAAAACCCUAAAAGAGACCAGAGAGGCCACAUUUCCCCCAAAGGAUGCCCCAUUAGCUCAGCUGGACAGGAAAAGGAGAAAUGGUAUCCCACUGCUUGUCUAUGUGUACCUGGAAUGCCUUGGAGAGAUGGGACAUUGGGGCUGUCUGCUGGCUCUGAGAUGGGCCAUCCCAAGCACAGUCCUGCUGCUGUCUGGAACACACUGCUCACACCUCUCAUCCUGUGGUCAUCCUCCACUGCUACUUUGUGGGCUACCUAUUCUUCUGCCAACAGUGUUUCUUAUGCCACCCCAUUCAGCCAAAUGGCUUCAAAUUCAAAUUCUCACUACGGGUAAUGCAGAUCAACACUCUGACACUCUGAAAAGAUCCUACUUUACAGCCAAUUUUCGCAGAUGCCUCUGCUUAGUGUAUCAAAAAAAAAGUAUGUGAAUUUAAUAUUUAUCAUUAUAGCAUGAAUAAAUUAUGAAAUAAUUAGAUUAUUCCUAAAUUAUGUAGCCCCUUUCAGAGUAUCACAUUGAGAAGUUAUAUAUCACGGGCACUUAUUGUAAAGAUGGCCCCAAAUCAUGAAAUGCAUACUUUGGAGUGGUGCUGGAGACUGUGGCAUGUUCUGGUCCAUGCCGAGGGCAGGCUCACCUUGUGUCUGAGCUCAUUUCAAACCAUAUGCCCAUAACAUCUCUUUACUUCAACUCACUGGCCAAUUUUUGUUCCUAAAGUCACCAUUCAACCUCGGAUCAUAAGAUGUUUGCACAUACUUUCACAGCACCUGUACAUCUCCUUCCUAACAACUUUAAUAAUGGCAAUUUUUCAUUUAUUUUCAGUGAUUGAUUCACCUGUCUCCCUCAGUAACUGCAACUUCCACAGCAGCAGGAACCAUGUGCAUUUCUGCUUACCAAUAUGUCCCCAGAAACUAGCACAGCUUCUGGCACACAGUAGGGGCUUAACAACUAGCCACUGGGGGAAAAAUACUAUGAAAUAGACUCAUUGGUGGAAAUGUUUCUGCUUCUAAGAGUGGAUCUGCCAAAAAUCAUUCAAAUCAAGGCUAACUAACUUUAAGGCUCAGCUAUGCUGUUUUUUUCUU